rnacentral:rRNA from 1 species
CACGUAGGGUGCGAGCGUUGUCCGGAAUUAUUGGGCGUAAAGAGCUCGUAGGCGGUGUGUCGCGUCGGCCGUGAAAACCUGCAGCUUAACUGUGGGCGUGCGGUCGAUACGGGCAUCACUGGAGUUCGGCAGGGGAGACUGGAAUUCCUGGUGUAGCGGUGAAAUGCGCAGAUAUCAGGAGGAACACCGGUGGCGAAGGCGGGUCUCUGGGCCGAUACUGACGCUGGAGGAGCG